GGGACGGGCGCACCGAGGAAGGGCGGGGGCCUCCCAGGCUAGGGUUUCGCGGCCGCUUCGGGGGAUAGAGUUGUCCCCUGUCUCGAGUUCCGUACCAUCCCCCUCCUCGGGCCGCCGCAGCCCGGGCCGCCCCGUUAAUGAUUGAUGCGGGGACCAAAGGCUGGACUUUUAUUUGGAACUGAGUCCGACAGCUCAGGACUGGCUGUUCAAACUCCACAACUUAAUGAAAAAUCUCAGAUGACUCCGAAAACCUCUAACGAUCUGAGGAAUGUAUUAAGGGAUUCCAAAGUCAAAGGCUGAUCGUGGAGGGCAUUGAUGAGGGGAGACUUCAGGGUGCUGCCUCCUGAGAAGCUGUUGUGUAGCCAGCCAUGACCGUGUCAAGUAAAGAGACUUACUGUCUUACACAGCCUCCCCUUCUAUCUUAAGAUUUUUUCAUUGUCGUUAGAAAACUUUGUAAAUAAUUAAAUGAACAUAACUGAUAAAACACCCUGUUGCAUCUUGGCCCAAAGCUCAGCCGUAAGUGUUAUUGAGUUGAACCAAUAAGAUCUGGUUAGAAAGUCCCCAAAAAUAAUGAUACCAAAUUAGGCAUAUGUACAGUACAUGUGGAAUGUGAUGGCUGGACAUUGAUUAGGCACAUUUAUUAAAAGAACAUCUUCCUCCAAACAAA